rnacentral:misc_RNA from 1 species
GAAAUGCGAUAAGUAAUGUGAAUUGCAGAAUUCAGUGAAUCAUCGAAUCUUUGAACGCACAUUGCGCCCGCCAGUAUUCUGGCGGGCAUGCCUGUUCGAGCGUCAUUUCAACCACCAAGCCCCCGGCUUGUGUUGGGGACCUGCGGCUGCCCGCAGGCCCUGAAAAACAGUGGCGGGCUCGCUGUCACACCGAGCGUAGUAGCAUACAUUCUCGCUCAGGGCGUGCUGCGGGUUCCGGCCGUUAAACGACCUUCAUAACCCAAGGUUGACCUCGGAUCAGGUAGGAAGACCCGCUGAACUUAAGC